UAUAUACUCCCUCCGUUCGGAAUUACUUGUCGCAGAAAUGGAUGUAUCUAGACGUAUUUUAGUUCUAGAUACGUCCAUUUUCGUGACAAGUAAUUCCGAAUGGAGGGAGUACUAC
rnacentral:pre_miRNA from 1 species